rnacentral:rRNA from 1 species
GACGAACGCUGGCGGCGUGCUUAACACAUGCAAGUCGAGCGGUAAGGCCCUUUCGGGGGUACACGAGCGGCGAACGGGUGAGUAACACGUGGGUGACCUGCCCUCAGCUCUGGGAUAAGCCUGGGAAACCGGGUCUAAUACUGGAUAUGACUCCAUGACGCAUGUUGUGGGGUGGAAAGCCUUGUGCGGCUGAGGAUGGGCCCGCGGCCUAUCAGCUUGUUGGUGGGGUGANGGCCUACCAAGGCGACGACGGGUAGCCGGCCUGAGAGGGCGACCGGCCACACUGGGACUGAGACACGGCCCAGACUCCUACGGGAGGCAGCAGUGGGGAAGUCUUGCGCAAUGGGCGAAAGCCUGACGCAGCGACGCCGCGUGAGGGAUGACGGCCUC